GAGACUUCUUCCAGAUUCUCAAUUGUUACCUGUAGCUCACUAGUUAAAGUAACUUUGUCAUUCAGAAGUGCAGAUUUCUCCUGUAGAAGAGAUUGACAAGAGUCUUCUAAUUCCUUUAAACUGCCUCUCACAGCUUCUAGUUCAGCACUCAAAUCUGACAGAGAGUUUUCCAGAAUGGAGUUUUUCUCAAGAAGCUCUUCGAACACUUGUAGCUUCUCCAGAAGAGCUAUUUUUUCACUUCUUUCCCUCUCACAGGUUUCUCCAAGAUUUGACUUUUCAUGUUGCAGCUCCUUUACAGAUGAUUCAAAGCAUUCUGGAUCAAGGCCCACUGCCUGCACCUGUGUCACAAUAGAUA
rnacentral:misc_RNA from 1 species